rnacentral:rRNA from 1 species
GAGUUUGAUCGUGGCUCGGGACGAACGCUGGCGGCGUGCUUAACACAUGCAAGUCGAGCGGUAAGGCCCCUUCGGGGGUACACGAGCGGCGAACGGGUGAGUAACACGUGAGCAAUCUGCCCAUCACUUUGGGAUAACUCCGGGAAACCGGAGCUAAUACAGCAUAAGACCACGAGUUUCCGAAUUCGCGGUCAAAGCGGGCCUCUCUUUAGAAGCUCGUGCUUGGGGAUGAGCCUGCGGCCCAUCAGCUAGUUGGCGGUGUAAUGGACCACCAAGGCUAAGACGGGUAGCUGGUCUGAGAGGAUGAACAGCCACACUGGAACUGAGACACGGUCCAGACUCCUACGGGAGGCAGCAGUGGGGAAUCUUGCGCAAUGGGGGAAACCCUGACGCAGCGACGCCGCGUGAGCGAUGAAGGCC